rnacentral:rRNA from 1 species
GGAAUAUUGCACAAUGGGGGAAACCCUGAUGCAGCAACGCCACGUGUGGGAAGAAGCAUUUCGGUGUGUAAACCACUGUCAUGAGGGAAUAAGGCCCGCCUCCGGACGGGAUUGAAUGUACCUUGAGAGGAAGCACCGGCAAACUUCGUGCCAGCAGCCGCGGUAAUACGAGGGGUGCAAGCGUUGUUCGGAAUUACUGGGCGUAAAGGGAGCGUAGGCGGAGAUUCAAGCGGAUUGUACAAUCCCGGGGCCCAACCCCGGCUCUGCAGUCCGAACUGGAUCUCUUGGAUAGUUCAGGGGCAGGCGGAAUUCCUGGUGUAGCGGUGGAAUGCGUAGAGAUCAGGAAGAACACCGAUGGCGAAGGCAGCCUGCUGGGGACUCAUCGACGCUGAGGCUCGAAAGUGCGGGUAGCAAACA